rnacentral:rRNA from 1 species
GAUGAACGCUGGCGGCGUGCCUAAUACAUGCAAGUCGAGCGAACGGACGAGAAGCUUGCUUCUCUGAUGUUAGCGGCGGACGGGUGAGUAACACGUGGAUAACCUACCUAUAAGACUGGGAGAACUUCGGGAAACCGGAGCUAAUACCGGAUAAUAUUUUGAACCGCAUGGUUCAAAAGUGAAAGACGGUCUUGCUGUCACUUAUAGAUGGAUCCGCGCUGCAUUAGCUAGUUGGUAAGGUAACGGCUUACCAAGGCAACGAUGCAUAGCCGACCUGAGAGGGUGAUCGGCCACACUGGAACUGAGACACGGUCCAGACUCCUACGGGAGGCAGCAGUAGGGAAUCUUCCGCAAUGGGCGAAAGCCUGACGGAGCAACGCCGCGUGAGUGAUGAAGGUCUUCGAAUCGUAAAACUCUGUUAUUAGGGAAGAGCAUAUGUGUAAGUAACUGUGCACAUCUUGACGGUACCUAAUCAGAAAGCCACGGCUAACUACGUG